rnacentral:rRNA from 1 species
UAUGAAGUCGGAAUUGCUAGUAAUCGCGGAUCAGCAUGCCGCGGUGAAUACGUUCCCGGGCCUUGUACACACCGCCCGUCACACCAUGAGAGUCGAUAACACCCGAAGCCUGUAGUCUAACCAUAUGGGGGACGCAGUCGAAGGUGGGAUUGAUAAUUAGGGUGAAGUCGUAACAAGGUACC